GCCGUCGUAGCUCAGUGGUAGAGCACGUCAUUGGUAAUGACGGGGUCGGAAGUUCAAUUCUUCUCGACGGCACCA
rnacentral:tRNA from 1 species